CAUUCUGUAGCUCAGUUGGUUAGAACACUGCACCGGAAUUGCAGGGUCGCGGGCUCGAUUACCGCCAGGGACC